rnacentral:rRNA from 1 species
UACGUAGGGUGCAAGCGUUAAUCGGAAUUACUGGGCGUAAAGCGUGCGCAGGCGGUUUUGUAAGUCUGUCGUGAAAUCCCCGGGCUCAACCUGGGAAUUGCGAUGGAGACUGCAAGGCUAGAAUCUGGCAGAGGGGGGUAGAAUUCCACGUGUAGCAGUGAAAUGCGUAGAGAUGUGGAGGAAUACCGAUGGCGAAGGCAGCCCCCUGGGUCAAGAUUGACGCUCAUGCACGAAAGCGUGGGGAGCAAACAGG